rnacentral:lncRNA from 1 species
CGCGCGAUUUCCUGUUUCCGUUUCCGCUUACCCAGAGUGGCCACCUUGCAGUGGGCUGUUAAAUUUGCUCGACCGUGGUUGAUACGUGCCUGUAUCAAUGGGUUUUCUUCUUUUUGUGUGCACUGGUUAACAGCAGAAAUGCCUUUCACCGCGCCUACGUCGUCCGGUCAGCACUGUGUAGUGGUAGGUUGUGGCAACAACCAGCGAAAACGAAAGAAUAUCGCGGAUAGCUUGUGCGAAAAACACGGCUUGAAGAAGGAGCAAUGUGGUUGCGACAUAUUUCUGCUACACCGCUUUCCCGCGAAUGUCGACUUGUGUCGUCAGUGGACUUCGCUGAUAAACAGGAAAGACUUUGCGCCAAACAGAAAUUCACGUGUGUGUUCUGCGCAUUUCGUGGAUGGAAAACGCACGGAGCAAAACCCUCGACCGAUGCUGAACUUGGGUUACGAGCGAAAGGUUAUCUUUGGGCGCAGACGCCUGAACCGAGACGAAAACACGCCACCACCAAUUAAGCGGAAGGCAAGUGUACAGAUUGUUAUGACAUUGUGUGGCUCAUAAUGAUUUAUUUCCGUUCCAGAGAAAAACGAACAAAGACACACGAGAUGAAGCGCCAGAAGCGUCACGCCAGGUUCCUUCACAGAGUGUCACUUCUGACGCACAAGCUUCCACGUUGACCUCGGUUUUAGACAGUUUGGAAGAUGUGAGUAGGCAUUCACCUGUCUUGACAUACUAUCACUGAGAAUAUAUACUCACUUUUUGCGUGUCCUGCCCAUACCAGGUGGAAGAUACCAUUCUAGACAGCCCUAGUGCGUGCCAGGAAACAGAAGUAAGUAGUCAUGCAGACAGCCUAAGUUUACAGGCACACCAGACACCUUACAACCAUGCCAAUUUUUGUAGUGCUUCCCUCAACAGGAGACUUCUCUCACCGAACCUGUAGCGCUCACUCAUGCUUUUGAAAGUGAAGCAGCUGUAAGUGCAUGCAGCACUUUUGCACCACUUAUUGACACACUGAAUGGCGAUUUGUUUAACAGGCUGAGUAGUGUAAGCGCUUUUCAAUUCCUCUUUACACAUUAUGAAAGAGUAAGCAGUCAUGCGAAGUCUUCUGCCUUCUUGUAUUGUCAUAUUUAAAGGAAACUUAACUUCAACAGGUUGCAGCACACACCGAAACCACAUCAGUCAGCAAUGUUCUGGGGAAUGAAGAUGUA